rnacentral:siRNA from 1 species
AAGCAACAUAGGGAAGUAGAUGUG